rnacentral:rRNA from 1 species
UGGGCUUGAGCCGUGGCUUUCGGAGCUAACGCGUUAAGUAGACCGCCUGGGGAGUACGGUCGCAAGAUUAAAACUCAAAUGAAUUGACGGGGGCCCGCACAAGCGGUGGAGCAUGUGGUUUAAUUCGAUGCAACGCGAAGAACCUUACCUACUCUUGACAUCCAGAGAAGCCAGCGGAGACGCAGGUGUGCCUUCGGGAACUCUGAGACAGGUGCUGCAUGGCUGUCGUCAGCUCGUGUCGUGAGA